AUUUCUGUUCAAAAAAAACUACAACCUGACGUUGUACAGAACCUUAUGGACGGGGUAAAGAGGAAGGUGCGAGCAUACGGGCUUGGACUCAAAGUAUGAAUAAAAAGAAAAUGCCAAAAGUUGUUUAAUAGUUUUUAUUUUACUGUCUCAAAUUUUCAAAUUUUUUUCAAAAUUAAGUCUACUGGCCGAAUUUCUACAGCGUUUUUUCCGUGAUGCAAUUUGAUGUGACACACCCUUUAUUCGGUUCGCUCUAUGUGGUGGUUCUACACACCUGGCCUGUUGUUUCCAUGUAUUCAGCGCGGUUAUUUAAACCCGCUUAGCGCGAUUCUUGGAUCCGCUCGCGGGACAAGAAGCUCUUGCAACAAGAGCCACAUCAAUUACUUUGUAUCACUUGUGUUUGGGUUGCUGUAGACCUAACCUCACUUUGAGCACCAAAACUUUCACAAAAACAAAAAAUAACACACGCUUCUAUAAGCAGUUGAAAAUGAUCCCUAUCCCCAGCAAAGUGUUGAUUUUUUUGUUCGCCAAUUACGUUGCAGUUGUAGAAAAGAAAAGAAAAAAAAACUGCAACCCCUGGCAGGAUCGCCAUUGUGUGGAUUCGAUUUAUCACUGGGGAAAGGGAUCACGAAACCCGGUUAGUUUCAGCACGUCUUACCUGCUUGACGGUUGAAGAGUCGAAGGCAGGAAAUAGCGUGGGUCGCCACCGAGAAGUCGACACUGACGUUGACGGCCAACACGUAGGGUUCCCGUCUAUAGUCAGCACAUGCCACCCUGCCUUGAGUACUUCAGUCCGUACCACACAGUACGUAUCGCGUAUAUCUUUCGGUCUAUCCGAAUCACCGCGAUCGGAACAUAUUUCGUGCUCGUUCAGAAAGUCAACGAGCUCAAUGGCUUCGCUCUUGAGCGAGCAAGCGUUCCAGUUAGUUAUACGUAAGAAGUUACGGUCCAUACUUGGAGACGACAUUCAAUGUCUUGCAUGUGCGUUGAAUCCUGAUGACCUCGGAGACUAGCAGAACGAGCUCCUUAUCAUUCAAAGGUGCGCCCUCGGCGGUCGUGCCGGAUGUUACACGUGAGUACGACAGACCCGGGACCGGAUCUGAAUAUACAAUGCCCUCUUCGGACAAGCACUGCUGGUGGGUUUGUGACCGGCUCCGCAGUUUGCGCAGACAGGGACACCGUCCUUCAUGUGUUCACAUGCAUCAGCGUCGUGGGUUUUGCAGCAAUUAACGUAGCGGGAUGCCAUGCCCAAAUAUGAAACAACUGUGGACCUAUUUUAGCGAUCCCACACAACUGCGAUAUGGAACAUCUACCGGAUAUUCUGGAGGUCCUUCAGGCAUGUCGGGUUCUUGGCGAAAUGGACGAAAUAAAGUUGGUCACCGUACGUCUGGGUCUGGUCGUGCCGCUUCAUUUUAUAAAUUUGAACUGGCUUUUCUCGAGUUCAGCCGAUAACUCUUUGGAGUCCAUAUCGUGGAAACCGCGGAGCACCACCUUGAGCGGUUAUUCAGCUUCGAUGUCGUGAGAGAAUUACUCACAAUUCAGCUGUUUUAGUAUCUCCAGCACGGCCUUGUAGUGACUCAUAGCAGGGACCAUCAACUUGAAGCCCCCCCCACUACGGCGGAUGGUGCACCUCAAACUUCUCGAUAAAAAAGGCAAUUCGAGCAUGAAGCCCCUCCAGGAAGCCUUUCACAUAGAUCGGCGGCAGUUUCUGCUUUUUUCCAAUUUCGGUUCGUCACCAUUCUCGAGAACAGCAUACCGAUUGUUCGCCAGCUGCUUCUUAGCCGACGGAUCAGGAGAUUCGCCCGAUAGUUCGGCAACGUUUGUAGACCGGGAGUGCUUCCCGUUGCUGCUACCACUUGCGCCAGGGCGCGUUUUGCCUGCGGCUUGAUUCAUAGGGACGUCGACGUCCAGCGCGAGAGAACUAACUCUUUUAGUUUUCUUUUCUUUCUACUAGAUACACGAGCAAGUUAAAACACGUCGUUACUGCUUAACACAACAGCAGAAAAUAAUCCUUGUUACUGAACUACUGUCUGUAUCCCGGAAAGUCUCAGUAGCAAGAGACCCCUCGAACUGUGUCUCAGGAUUGGCUUACUACUGGGUAAUUGGAGGGGCUUCGCGGAUCAAAUAAAAGAUUUUCUCACCUUCUUUUACCUUUUUUUAUUCAUCUUACAAUUCUGGUUUUUGGCGAGCAGUUCCUUGGUGGCGAGAGGGUAGUGGGUCAGAAGCGGGCUGAUAUCUGGUCUUCAAAAGUGGGUCUUCUAUUUUGUCCGUCAUUCUCUAAAGUCCACGGCCAGUCGUCACGUGGAAGGUUGACCUGUGACCGGCGUCUUCCCUCUUUGACACAAUCGACAGACCCAGGACGAUACCGGAAAGACACUGCCGAGAGGGGCCCUCCUUUAUGGUUAUGGCCAACCUAACCAGAGGGUGAAUCGCUCCUUAACGAUUGGGCGUAGCUCGGUCCCGCUAGCCAAGGUGUGCGAUGGUCAACCACGAGGUUCGUUGAUCCAAACUCUCGACCGAACUUGGGACAAACGUCCGUUACACACCACGCCUGGUUUCAAAAAGCCCCGAGCUUCAUGGCGGAUGCUCUCAACAGCAUUUUUUCAUUGUUCCACUCUAUUGUGCCUCCAUCAUAUUGCUGACCCUCUCUUUAUAAAAUCUUCUGCUAUACCGACUCGCCAUUUCGCCUUCUUUUUACAUACAUUCAUACACAUUAAUUCGAUUUAUUCCCUACUUCAAAACGUUAAAAAGGUGACAAUUCUUAAACACACAAAAUUAAAAUAAAAACCUAACGCUUCUGUAACAAACGGUUACACUAUGCUCCACCUCGGAGAAUAAAUGAUUAGGCUAGCUUAAUCAUUUAUUAGUCCUACAAGAAUCGAUUAUUACAAUCACUGAAUAAAAAGACAUUUACUAAAAUACAGCUUACAAUAAUAAUAAUUUAAAUCGUUCCCGUAGCAGUUAAUUAAUUUUCAAAAACAAUUUACGACACAUACACACAACAAGUUAAAAUCAUCAACAACUAAAAGCUAAAUUUCCUAUCAAAUUUGCCAUAAUCGCAUGAUUGAGUUCAGCCCUGAUGCAGUGCACAAUAAUUUCACCAGUGGUGAGUUUCUACUACUUCUAGUGUUUCCUCUAGACACCUUGUAUAUUGACCUUGUCUCUAUUGUUUCCAAGACCAUCAAUUUCCCUAUAACAUUGACCGCGUGAACACGGUUACUAUUGUUCUACUGUGUAAUUUAAAGUGUUUAAUUCAUUUGCAAGAUAAGACCGAUUAGUUUAGUUUAAAUAAGGAACAAACAAUAUUGAGUUGUUCGAAACAGGUGAUUUCUAGGUCUAUUCAACCAGUUGGCCACCUGAUUAUACAAGGAAUGGCACUAGAAACAAGCGUGAUUCGAGAGUAGAUUGGUAUAUACAAUUUCAAUUUUAGUAUCGGCAUGGAUGCUGUAUGAGAUCCAUUUAACCAUAAAAUGCAUUUGAGGCUUCUAUACUGACUUCAACCCCUCAUUCCUAUGAGAGUAUACUCAGUAGGUCACGCUUCUUUUGGACAUUGAUGACCUCCAUGCAAUGCAUGCAUCUCGACUAUGACCUAAAGUCUAGUCAAUAAUUAAUGACUUAAAGUUGAGUCAAUAAUCUAUAGAAAGGCGCCUGACUUUGCCUGUUGCAACGGCCGAAUAUCAUUGGCGGCAAAAAUGCCUAAAUUUUUCCCCUUCUCAUCCUGGAGCUCAUAGGAACUACUGCCUCUUCUGGAAAUAAUAGUGCAAGGGAUAAAAAGCGGACCAUAUUUGGCAUUAUAGUGGCCGCUCGCAGAGGACAGCUUAAAAUUCUUCUUCAACACUUUUUGGCCGACCUGAAUUGUUCGCAGUUUUCUUUUCUUCACAUCACGGGAUUCAGCUUCAGUGAAUGGAACCUGACGCACUUGUAGCUCAUGCUCAAUUUCAUCGACUAGCAAAUGAUCCACAUUCAUCGAUCGAUAUUGCAGUAAACACACGGAAUUCAUUAUAAAACUCAAUUAGAACUUGAUCAGCAAUAGAAUUAAAUUAGAAUGAAAAUAAUUUCAACACAUUUAUAUAAAAAUUCAAAAUUAUAGGACACUAUUACGUCACAAACAUUCACCAGCACAAAACAUUUUCAAAAAAACGCGAUUAUAUAAAUUAAUCAAAACUAUGUAUUAUAUACAAUCACUAGUUUUAAGUCUGAAUA